AUACGUAGGGGGCGAGCGUUAUCCGGAUUCAUUGGGCGUAAAGCGCGCGUAGGCGGCUCGCCAAGCGGGAUCUCAAACCUGAGGGCUCAACCCCCCAGCAGGAUCCCGGACUGGCGGGCUCGAGUUCGGUAGGGGAAGGCGGAACUCCCAGUGUAGCGGUGAAAUGCGCAGAUAUUGGGAGGAACACCGAUGGCGAAGGCAGCCUUCUGGGCCGUAACUGACGCUGAGGUGCGAAAGCUAGGGGAGC
rnacentral:rRNA from 1 species